CUCCAGGGGACGUGCUUCUUUGCAUCCGCAUGCCGCCAGCCCAGCGCACCUGACCAUGGAAUGUAAAGAAGUAUGUUCUCUGGCC
rnacentral:pre_miRNA from 1 species